CCUACGGUGUGCUGCAGUCGAGAAUCAUUCACAAUGGGGGAAACCCUGAUGGUGCGACGCCGCGUGGGGGAAUGAAGGUCUUCGGAUUGUAAACCCCUGUCAUGUGGGAGCAAAUUAAAAAGAUAGUACCACAAGAGGAAGAGACGGCUAACUCUGUGCCAGCAGCCGCGGUAAUACAGAGGUCUCAAGCGGUGUUCGGAAUCACUUGGCGUAAAGCGUGCGUAGGCUGUUUCGUAAGUCGGGUGUGAAAGGCGCGGGCUCAACCCGCGGAUGGCACAUGAUACUGCGAGCCUAGAGUAAUGGAGGGGGAACGGGAAUUCGCGGGGUAGCAGGGAAAUGCGUAGAUAGCGAGAGGAACACUCGUGGCGAAGGCGGGUUCCUGGACAUUAACUGACGCUGAGGCACGAAGGCCAGGGGAGCGAAAGGGAUUAGAUACCCGAGUAGUC
rnacentral:rRNA from 1 species